rnacentral:lncRNA from 1 species
UCGACUUUAGUCGAAAAAGCGAGACUAAGCGAUCCUACAUUCCGUCGUCGUCGGCGUCGUCGGUGGCGUCCACAAAUAUUCACUCUGUGGUUAAAGUUUUUGAAAUUUUAAUAACUUUCUUAAACUAUACUGAAUUUCUACCAAACUUGGACAGAAGCUUGUUUAUGAUCAUAAGAAAGUAUCCAGAAGUAAAUUUUGUAAAAAUAAAAUUCCAUUUCUCCCGUUUUUU